CCGAUGUUCCAGAAAAAAAGCAAGCGGGAUCUGUUUGAAGUAUUAGGGUUGCGACAUUCAUUGCAGAUUUGCAGUAGGCCAUCCUCCAAUCUAUGCGCCAAUCGACAAUCUAUGCACCAACCGACAAUCGUUCAUCCUUUUCUCCUUUAAUCUCUAAAGUGGGGCCGCCAGUUCCGUUUUUUUGGAACUUCUAGUCUGAGGAAGCCGUUAGACACUCAAUGGUGUUAAUGGGGAUUGGAUGAGUGUGAAUGAUAGCUGAUGAAUCAUAAACUGGAAGGAUUAUUAGGCCGAAGGUAGUAGGACCCAAUUCAAGGA
rnacentral:lncRNA from 1 species